GCAGUGAGUGGUAACAGCAUUCACUAAAAUUGGAAUGAUACUGAGAAAAUUAGCAUGGCCCCUACAUAAGACUGGUACGUACAUUCAGGAAGCACUCACAAACACA